rnacentral:piRNA from 1 species
UUCUCAUUCAUGAUCAAAUGUUGGUGUUAA